UCCCGUCGUGGUGGCCGGUGGCGACCACUGGUCGGGCUUCCGGCCCGACCGGAUCAAGACCCUCGGCGGAGCCGUCGCGGUCACGGCCUGACGACCGGGU
rnacentral:tRNA from 1 species